UACGAAGGGGGCUAGCGUUGCUCGGAAUCACUGGGCGUAAAGCGCACGUAGGCGGAUUGCUAAGUCAGGGGUGAAAUCCUGGAGCUCAACUCCAGAACUGCCUUUGAUACUGGCGAUCUCGAGUCCGGGAGAGGUGAGUGGAAUUCCUAGUGUAGAGGUGAAAUUCGUAGAUAUUAGGAAGAACACCAGUGGCGAAGGCGGCUCACUGGCCCGGUACUGACGCUGAGGCGGCGAAAGCGUGGG
rnacentral:rRNA from 1 species